CCAUAUGGUUAAUACCCAUAUGCGAUGACAUUAGCUGCAGAAUAAGCACCGGCUAACUCUGUGCCAGCAGCCGCGGUAAUACAGAGGGUGCAAGCGUUAAUCGGAAUUACUGGGCGUAAAGCGAGCGUAGGUGGCUUGAUAAGUCAGAUGUGAAAUCCCCGGGCUUAACCUGGGAACUGCAUCUGAAACUGUUAGGCUAGAGUGGGUGAGAGGGAAGUAGAAUUUCAGGUGUAGCGGUGAAAUGCGUAGAGAUCUGAAGGAAUACCGAUGGCGAAGGCAGCUUCCUGGCAUCAUACUGACACUGAGGCUCGAAAGCGUGGGUAGCAAACAGGAUUAGAUACCCUGGUAGUCCACGCCGUAAACGAUGUC
rnacentral:rRNA from 1 species